rnacentral:rRNA from 1 species
UUUGGUACGGAAUAGCCGUACGGGAAACUGAGAGUAAUACCGUAUGUCGCCCGUUACGGGGGAAAGUAUUUAUCGACCAAAGGAUUAGCCCGCGUUGGAUUAGGUAGUUGGUGGGUAAUGGCCUACCAAGCCGACGAUCCAUAGCUGGUUUGAGAGGAUGAUCAGCCACACUGGGACUGAGACACCGGCCCAGACUCCGUACGGGAGGCAGCAGGUGGGGAAUCUUAGACAAUGGGGGAAACCCUGAUCUAGCCAUGCCGCGUGAGUGAUGAAGGCCUUAGGGUUGUAAAGCUCUUUCAGAUGGGAAGAUAAUGACGGUACCAUCAGAAGAAGCCCCGGCUAACUCCGUG